rnacentral:rRNA from 1 species
UACGUAGGGUGCGAGCGUUGUCCGGAAUUAUUGGGCGUAAAGAGCUCGUAGGCGGUCUGUCGCGUCGGUCGUGAAAACUUGGGGCUUAACCCUGAGCUUGCGGUCGAUACGGGCAUGACUGGAGUUCGGCAGGGGAGACUGGAAUUCCUGGUGUAGCGGUGAAAUGCGCAGAUAUCAGGAGGAACACCGAUGGCGAAGGCAGGUCUCUGGGCAUUAACUGACGCUGAGGAGCGGAAAGCAUGGGGAGCGAACAGG